rnacentral:rRNA from 1 species
GACGAACGCUGGCGGCGUGCUUAACACAUGCAAGUCGAACGGAAAGGCCCUGCUUUUGUGGGGUGCUCGAGUGGCGAACGGGUGAGUAACACGUGAGUAACCUGCCCCUGACUUUGGGGUAACUUCAGGAAACUGGGGCUAAUACCGGAUAGGAGCUCCUGCUGCAUGGUGGGGGGUGGAAAGUUUCGGCGGUUGGGGAUGGACUCGCGGCUUAUCAGCUUGUUGGUGGGGUAGUGGCUUACCAAGGCUUUGACGGGUAGCCGGCCUGAGAGGGUGACCGGCCACAUUGGGACUGAGAUACGGCCCAGACUCCUACGGGAGGCAGCAGUGGGGAAUAUUGCACAAUGGGCGGAAGCCUGAUGCAGCAACGCCGCGUGCGGGAUGACGGCCUUCGGGUUGUAAACCGCUUUCGCCUGUGACGAAGCGUGAGUGACGGUAAUGGGUAAAGAAGCACCGGCUAACUACGUG